CAUCUGGACAACCAAGGCCAACAAGUCUUCCCACAAUAAUACUCUCCCCUAAAUUCCUCUAAAGAUUCGUUUCCUGAAAGCUCGAGUUUUGUGGUGAUCGCUUUGAAAUGUAAGGCAGGCCCCUGAUUUUGACUUCUCAAUCAGUCCUCCACCACCAGCCACCACCUUUCACAUUCAAAUGAGAUGUCCCGUUUAGUGUGCUAUCACAGCACUUCGGUAACCAAAAAUCAAAGCCCCUGAACCGAGUUAAGACUUUUAACAGACAGUAAUUCCUGAUGGGGAUCUUAUAUCACAAAGCAGGUCAUUCAGAUCUGAUCUUUCCAUGUAAGUGCUUGGCCAAUCAGUUUCCACACAUUUUUGUUUUUUUCAGUCAUGGAUAUUUAUUGCUUUUUAGUCACCCGCCAUCCAUAUCAAUGGGCAAAGCUUGACAGAGUGUAUACAAAUUGUGUUUUUCAGUUUCGCCAAUCACUCCUUCCUUGUCUCUGCUACCAUUUUCCAUUCUGGGCAUAUGUACAGGUAUUUCUGUAUCUCUGUAUACACAAACCUUUGUUUUUCUAAAAAAAUAAAAUUGCAGCAAACAUUACCAGCCUUAUCCAGCCAGUUGCUCUUUCACAAGAGGCAAACUGGAAGCUUGUGCUUUUUUGUGGGGGAAGCAAUAUCCAUUCCAAUAUGUGUGGUUUUUGGUUGUUUUUUUUAUGUGAUACUGAAGUCUUGUGCAAGAGUGCAAAUGUGAUAAAGUUUAUUUAAAACACACAUUUUUAUUUAUUUUAAAAAAUCAAUUUUAGGCACUGCUGCAAUUGUGGUUGCCCAGGUAGUCCUCCACUUUUACUGUGCAGAUAUCUUAAAUAAUAUCUCCUGUAAACUGGGCAUGUGUCAAUCAGUGGAAGUGGGUUUCUUUCCUUUGGUGCUGGGAGCCAGUGAAAACAAAGGUUGUUCUCAGGUGAUGAGCAAACAGAAGUUUGGUGUGGCGAGAUAAUUUGAAAUGUUGCCUCACAUUACAAACUGCCCACUCCCCAAAAAUGUACUAUUUUUACUUAUUGGAUUUUUUGCAGCAAGGAGAAUUUUUAUUAAUUUCUUUAUUUUUAAAGCACAGGUUGGUAUUUUGAUGACACAUAACAUCAUGUGAAUUCUGCAAAAGGUUUGUGGACAUGAGCAACACGAAUUUCGCAAUAAACUUCCCUCUGGAAGCAUUCAAACUGUACAGAUAACUUGAAGGGGGAAAAACACCACCCAAGUCACAAUAUCACAGUUAUGAUGAAUGGUGGGAUGUUUCCUAUAAUAAAAGAUAACAAAACGAUAGUUUACAGAAAUGGAAAAGUUACAAAUUACUGGUAACAGGAAAACUGAUUUAUGAUCACUCAAAUGAGGAAAUGGAUUUAAUUAUAACCCAGGACGAGAGGACCUGUACUUUGAACAUAACAAGCAUGAAUAAUGAUCUGUUAAGAAUAAACAUAUAGGGAGCAGGAUGUGUUCUUAUAGAGGACAAGGCAGACUGUAAUUUCAGAAUGUUCAUUAAAGCUUUGGCUGACUAGAAUGACUCAGGAAUAACUUUACUAAUUCCACUGGACAGACAGGGGACUCAUGGAAUCAAUUCACUGAGCGACUUCCCAACCACCGACCUUCUGAUCGGCAAGCACAAGUGGUUUAGAUCACAGCGCCACCUGCAUCCCUGGACACAUAUGAACAACAAGGCACUGUGCAGCCUGCCAAUGUACACACUGAAAUGGCUCAUAUAUUUGGGGCGGUUGAUAACGUUGUUGGGCUAUUCAGAUGUUCUUUAAUCAAAAUAAUACCAUUAAUCCAAGGAACAAACACUCUCACAUGGCGUUAAAUCAGAGAAGAGGCUGCAGUAAUUUGUAAUUGAUGAAGUGCUGCGGGGAGCUUGUCUUGGGGCAGGUGGUCCGCCUUGGGAUUGAGAAAAGAGGCAUUAACUGUGUCCUUGUUUCCAGCUGUGAAAUGUUGCAGGGUGUGUGACACUGAAACCUCCACCUAAAUUAAUUUUGAGCUGCCAGGGAAGGCUAAGUUCUUCUUAGAACAUGACUCAUCUCUCCCUGUCUUCUCCAGUUAGGCCGACUGCUAAUAGGAAAGCCAGAAUAAUUGUGAAGCAUGAAUAUUUCAAGACCCUCAAAAUGGCAGUCUGCUUGCCUGAGGCAACUCCUAACUGCCAAGAUCUUUCCAGCGUGUCAACUGGCAAUGUUUGCUCCUCCCUCCCACCAGAAAAAUAGCAGCAGGAACAAAACUGUGGGAUAUGAACAGCUAAGGUCAAAUGUGGAAAGACGAGCCUGUUGAACUUCCCACAUUUAUUUAUUCAUCGUAUGUUUAUCGCUCCCUGCAGCCAUAUUCCCAUGGGUGGCAGUUUACAAAAGGGGUGGUUUGUCUCCCUAUCCAGACUCAAGUUUUUCUCCUUUCCUUUCGCCUCAGUAGGAUAAAAAGAGAGCUCUGCUGGAUCAGGCCAAAGAUCAAUCUAGUCCAUCAUCCUGUUUCAAAAAGGGUCAGUCAGAUGAAUCUCAAAAGCCCACAGAAGAGUCUGAGGGCAACAGCUACCCCUACUGUUUGCCUUACCCCAGAGGCAACCAACAUGGUGUCCUCCAGAUUUUGAUGGACUCCCAUCAUCCCUAACCAUAGUGGGGGCUGAUAGGAACUGGACAUCAGGUGGGAAAGAAGACAUGAACAAGCGUAGACUUAGUUGGCUCCGUCUGUCACUGGCUCUGGCUCCCCUCAUGGCUGGCCUCCAUGUCUUCUUCUCCACCAGUCCCAAUGGGCACCGGGCAAUGCUGGGGCAUUAGCAUAUAUCAUCCUCUUUCUCUUUUAUAUUUACACCUUUAGCUCUUGACUUGAGAGAACUUUUAACCCCACCAUCUGAGUCAGCUUUGUUUUGUCUUGGGGAAGUUCAGAUUAUUUCGUUUUAGAUUACAGGAGACUUUUGAUGAUGACAAAGCUUUGGGAGCUGUGGGUUAAAGGCAUCUUCUAAAACGAAACUGGCGGAAAGCGCUACUUAGUCAAUACAGAUUUUACAUCCCACUCAGUGUGAUUCAGCACCAGGGAAUUCACAGCUUGUCUUAUUUUAUUAUUUUUAAACUGCCCUAGGUGGAAUUUUCAGGCAAGGAAGCCUGUCAAAUAAUUACUACUUGGCGAGUUGGCCACGCAACAUUCGAGGAGACAGAUUGAAGGAUUUGGCUGGAGAACACACAUUUGGUUAAUGUUCUGGUCCUACAUGCAUUCUGGGUGAAGGAAGGUUGAGGAAUGAGGGGUGAUCAUUGUUUAGCACAUUAUUGUACUCUGAUUGUUACCUACUUUCGAAAAUCGAUGAAAUAUUAUUUUAAAAAGGAUGUGGCUCCUGAAAGCCUCCCUAAAUUAUUAAAAACUACUCAGCUCUCCCGCUCUCCCAAGGGCCAGGCCUACAAUUCUUGAGGUUUGUUCGUACACAGAUUGUGGUUAGGGAACUUGCUACCAGCCUGACAGGCUUUCCUGGCAAUAGCAUCUAGUGCAGUGAGUGUUAAGCUUCAAUCCACCACAAUGCCCUGGUGUGCCCUGGAGUCAGGGGCAUUCUGGGAAAUUGAGCAGCAGCCAGACUUGGCCACCCAGCCCCUGCUGGGGUAUUAAAACAGCAGUGGGCCCUGCUAGUGGUGGGUCCCUGGCAGCUGCACAAAGAUGUGAUGUGUUGAUACCAGCCUUGUUUUCUGGAAUGUUCCACAGGACUACUGAAUGGAAUCAGAGCAGGGAGAAGAUCUUGAUGUGUCUAGGAAGGCUACAUCUGCUCAGUUAUCUCAGAAGCUCCUCACACUUUGCUAUCCAGUGCCUAAUUUCUAGAGAAAUGAAAGAUGGAUUUUAUGUCUGACUGCAAGCAGCACCUCUCUGAUUUGGAUGCCUUCUGCCCCCUAAUCUCUGCUGUGUGGCAACUCUCUAAUUUAGUCAGUGGCGAGAAAAGUGCACUUCACGUCUGCUCAGGAUCACUUCCAACUCUUCCGAGGUCAUGAUGUGAUAGGGUCCAGCUCUGGCAUGGAAAACAGAUUGUGAGGCUGAGUAUCAGAACAAAUUGAGCCCUUAAUGCUCUCCCCCAACUUCAGCUGCAGAGAAAUUGGAACCUAUUUAUUUCAAGUAUGGCAAAAACAUGAUCUGAAGAAUCAUACAGGAAGAGAUUAAAAUAGCUCAGUGGCUUUUUCAUUUAUGAUUCCAGUUUGGCCGUCUAAAUGGUUCAGUUGUAUAUGUCCUUGUUCCUAUCUCACAUACAGAGCAUCCCUCAUGCCACCCACAACCAGGAAAUUAUUCCGUCUGGCAGGUAGAUGACACUUCACACCUACAAUCUUGCCUCUUGCUCCCUGUGAACAUGUGAAGAUAUGUAUGUCAGCCUUUGCCAACCUCCUUCCCUUCACCCUCCAGAUGUUUUGUACUACAACUCCCAUCAGCCCUCAUGGGAGUUGUAGUCUAAAACAUCUGGAGGGCACCAAGUUGGUGAUGGCUGUUCUGUGACUUUACAUGUUCAAACCUGAGUAACUAGCCUCUGUCUAGAUGAGGGUGUUAAGUAUGACUGUUUAACGCACAUUGAAAGUGGAGAUAUAUAAUGCGUCUGUAUGGUAUAUUGUGGAGUAUGGUUGGAAAUUUCCAUGAAGUUAGAGAAGAGCCUACCUGGUUAAUCAUUAGUGGGGAUGUAUCUCUGUGGCUUAGCCACAGGGUCAUCAGCUUGCAGUCACAUGAAAAGGAUUGUAUUUCAGGUCUAUGCAUAUGCUAACUCAUAGGGAUCCAUGUUGGGUGCCUCUUUGUUCUAAGCUGCUGAAGAGAAUGGAUGUGACUUUCUCUGUCUCCAGCAAAACAGCCUGAGGCUGAAAGAGACUGCAGUGGAUAAGAGCUUGGAGCUCUGAUUUUAGCUCAGAAUGCAAGUUAUUUGUAACCUAAGUUUUUAUGCCUCGUGCUGGGAGUUGUGUAAGGAAUAAGCAACUAAGUGAAUGUAAUUUUAUUUGUUUAAAAUUGUUUAAAGUUAAGUUCUGUGAGUAAAGCUUUUUGAACCGUA